rnacentral:rRNA from 1 species
AUGAACGCUGGCGGCGUGCCUCAUCCAUGCAAGUCGCGCGAACAGACGAGGAGCUUGCUCCUCUGACGUUAGCGGCGGACGGGUGAGUAACACGUGGAUAACCUACCUAUAAGACUGGGAUAACUUUGGGAAACCGGAGCUAAUACCGGAUAAUAUAUUGAACCGCAUGGUUCAAUAGUGAAAGACGGUUUUGCUGUCACUUAUAGAUGGAUCCGCGCCGCAUUAGCUAGUUGGUAAGGUAACGGCUUACCAAGGCGACGAUGCGUAGCCGACCUGAGAGGGUGAUCGGCCACACUGGAACUGAGACACGGUCCAGACUCCUACGGGAGGCAGCAGUAGGGAAUCUUCCGCAAUGGGCGAAAGCCUGACGGAGCAACGCCGCGUGAGUGAUGAAGGUCUUCGGAUCGUAAAACUCUGUUAUUAGGGAAGAACAAAUGUGUAAGUAACUAUGCACGUCUUGACGGUACCUAAUCAGAAAGCCACGGCUAACUACGUG